GAAGUUCCUGGGCCAGGGACUGAACCUGAGCCACAGCAGUGACAAUGAUGGAUCCUUAACCAGCUAGGCCACCAGGGAACUCCCAGCUUUCUUUUAAAGGGAUUUUUGAAAAGGUUCUACAGAUUCCUUAUAUGAUCACAAGUAAGAGUUCUGUAACAGACUUAACACUAUAAAUCAAGUAAGUUGCAUUUACUGGAUUUCAGCUGUGUAUGGCAGCAUCUUAGUCUUCAUACUAACUCUAAGAAGGACAGGCAUUAUCAAACCACUAUUAAGUUAUUCCUCGUUCUAUACUAUCUCUUUGAGGAAUGUUGGAAAAUUCACAGCAUGGCAAUGUGUUGCAGAGUUACAGAGGCUCAACAAUGGGAACCCAUACUUUCUGAACCCCAAGCCUACGGGUUUUCCAUCAGCUGUAACCCCUAGAAAAGGGGUUUGACAAAGAUGAGACAAGGAGUCUUCAGAGAAUCACUUCCACCCUUGUGUGGCUCAUGUGAACCAGGGUUGGGGGCAAGGUGGUUCUUCCUCCAUCUCCAUGAAUUGGAGUAGGACAUGCCAUUCAGUUUCUUGGCAUUUUUUUUUUCUUUUUUAGGGCCGCACAUGGAAGUUCCCAGGCUAGGGAUCAAAUCAGAGCUGCAGCUGCUGGCCUACACCACAGCCCUAGCAACCACAGCAAUGAGGGAUCUGAGCCAAGUCUGCGACCUACGCCAUAGCUGAUGGCAACGCAGGAUCCUCAACCCAAUGAGCAAGACCAAGGAUUGAACCCACAUCCUCAUGGAUACUAGCCAGAUUUGUUUCCACUGUGUCACAUGGGAACUUCCCCAAGCUUUUCUAUGUACAUGCUUUGGUUCAGUUUUUAAUAUAAAAUGACUACUUUAAAUAUGCACAGAUUCUAUAAUUCCUUAAUGAAACACACAAUUCAAUAACUAAGAUGACUCUGGAAGUCACUGCUUUUUAAUAUAAGAGGAUAGGUUGCUUUUAUGUGAUUGAAGGGAGAGGAGAAUCAAUAAAUAGGUACUGUUCUUAUUUAGCAGUGAGAUUUCAUGAGGUUACCACUACAUACAUUCAAAACUAAAGCGAUUAACAACACAGACGGAAAUUCCUGUAGACUUGUAAAAUAAUUACAUCCAUCUCACAAGCCAUGUUACAAGUUUUGAACAGAGACCAACCUAACGUAAGUGCAAAGGCUGCAAAUACGUGAAGCGCUGUAUUUGCUUACAGCAUAUUCAACAAGGACAUGAAAGAGUGAAGGGCUGGGGAGUAUGGCCUGAAGCCCACAGACUUGAUAAACACUCAAUAAAGUAUUAGCUAUGAUUAUUAGCUAUUCAUUCCACACCUAUUUAUAAUAAAAAUUUGAGCUGUUCUGUAAUCAAAAGAAAUUUGCCCAAGUUAAUAUGGUUAUCUGUUUAAUGGUAUUUACAGUAAUAAUCAUUAUUGUACUAUAUUGUAAUUCGGCACAAAAGGUAAACUGUUAGUAUAACUGCUUGUAAUUAGUACACAGUCAAUUUUUUUCUAUAGUUUUUCUCUUCUUUCUUCUUGAUCUAACAUGUGAUCAAUAUUAUCAUGAGCUGUUUCCCUUCAUUUACUAGUUGCAUGAUUUUGACCAUAUCUAUCCUCUGUAACAUUUCCUUUUCCUCUCUGUGAAAUGGUAAUAAGAAGACACAUUUUGCAGUUAAAAUUAAACACAGUAAAAUAUAGUAAAGUACAAAAAGUAAACAUAUACAUAAAGAUGCAGUAAAAAUGUAAAGAUAACAUACACAGAGACAUAGCAGAGUGCCUGACACAUAGCUGAUCAAUAAAUGACAGCUGUCAGUGCGGGUUGGCAUUAUAGUUUGUCCUGACAAACAAUAGAAUGCUCUUCCCCUAUGGAACCUCAUGGCCAUAUCCUCAAAGACUUUAAGUCUAAGAACCAGCUUUGAGAAGCAUGAAGGUGGGAAAGACUUUUUUGGUUUUGGCUGCACCCACAACAUGCAGAAGUUCCCAUGCUAGGGAUCAAACCCGUGCCACAGCACUGAAUGCUGGACCACCUUAGUUGUUAGACCACCGGGGAACUCCAGGAAUGACUUAUAUUUAUUUAUUUGUCUUUUUGGGGCCGCACCUGCAGCAUAUGGGGGUUCCCAGGCUAGGAGUCAAACUGGAGCUAGGGGUUGAUCGGAGCUACAGCUGCUGGCCUACACCACAGCCACAGCAACACAGGAUCCGAUCCACGUCUGUGACCUGCACAGCUCAUGGCAACGCUGCAUCCUUAAGCCACUGAGUGAGGCCAGGGAUGGAGCCUGCAUCCUCAUGGAUACUAGCCUGGGUUCACUACCGCUGCGCCACCACAGGAAUUCCAGGAAUGACUUUGAGAGCAGAAGUUUUAAACCGUGGCUGCACAAUAGCAUUAAAGUAUAUACCGAGGCCUGGGUCCCACCCAGAGAGCCUGAUUUAAAUGGUCUGGGGUGUGGCCUGGGCAUUUUUUUUUUUAAUUCCUAGGUUAAGGUUUAUUGGGCAUUUGAGGUGGAGAACCACUGCUGGAGGGUCGGCUGUGCUCAGGUAAAACUUGGUUUUGGUUCUAGGGACGGCCAGGAGGGGCCCUGAUGAGGACUGGAGAGUCUUGCUUAUUUGGGGAGGAGAAGAAGUAAAAAGGAGGUACCCUCUCACUCUCCCUGGGCACCAAAGAGGAACUAUAUCAGGUGUGCCUUCAGGGUUGGCCUUAAGGGCAGUUUUGAGUAUGUGUGAUUCUAGGAACCACGGAAAUGUAGCCCAUCGCCUGGUUAUGCUGACACUCCUUCAAGAUAAAACAAAGCAAGUCAAGUCUGACAAUACAAGUAACCUUGGAAAGAGUAAUAAAUCACAUUACCAAUGAAGUCUUUUUGUGCAAAGUGCAAAAAGAGGGUUUCUCCUUAUUUUAGAGGUUGAGUGGGAGGUAGGUGACAGGAGGGUCUGGACAUAAAGCGCACACCAUGCAAACGAGAUGGGGGAGAAGAGCAGAAGCAGAACUGAGCGAACCAGAUUGAUACUCUCAAGGUUACAGUUUUGCUGUGGGAGCAAAAAAAGCUGCGCAGAAACGCAUCCUUUUGGAUGCCCUAGCCGCAAGGUUACAGAAGCAGUAACUAGCAGCAAGCUUCUAGCAAGUGUUUCUCCUCUAAAAAGCAUGGUGCUGCAACACCAUGAGGAAGCUGAAGACUGCCCCCUCUGAAUAUGCAAAAUAUUAUGAUCCCCUGAGAAAGGAAGAGCUACACAGUGAUAGAAAAAUCAACCCUCUAACUGGUUCAUCAACAGAGCCAAAGUAAAAAUAGUAAUUGAGUAUUUGAAAAUAAUUUUAGUUUUGUCUAGGUCAUGGCUGUCACAGCAUUACAAGUGUAUCAAACUGUGCCAGUUACAACAAAGCCCAGCAAACUCUCCCCUUUGUAAAUAGCUCAGACAGGGUUCUCUUAGUUUGUCAGCCAUCCUAGACAUAUACUGAUGGACAAAGCGGAAAUAUUCCAAAUAGUUAAAAUACCUUUAUGAUACAGUAUUUUAAUUUUAAAUUUAUUUAGUACCUUAGGACUCUUUUUUUUGGGGGGGGGGGCAUCUUAUCCAACAUCAUUCUGUUUACGGUUUCAUCCUCAAAGACCAUUUCAUCAGCAUCUCAUCAGCAUCGCUCUUACAGGUUUUGCAGCUUUUCAUCUCAUCUUCCUGGCACGGUCAACAUGCUGGGAUUUCUUUUCCUAGUUGGUUCCCCCACUAUCACCUGCAAGGGGAGGCAGGGUCCUGGCACCAUUUCGGUCCCCUCAGAGCAUCCACUCACAUACCUGGUCCACAAGCAUGAGGUGCAUCGCCCAGCAGAAAAUUAUCAACAGCAGUAAUAGGAAUGCAGCUGUCCUUUAAAAGCUUAUAUUAAACUUUUUGUUUAGUACUAAUGAAGAACUGAUACAAGAAACUUUCCAGUAUGCUCAACUCUCCUUAAGUCUAUUUACAGUGUUAUCAACGGUCUAAAAGCUAUUGAAUAUUUGAAGGUAAGAAGUGCUACAGAGAUGAUAAUCAUUAGAUUAGAAGUCAGAAGCUGCCAAGCUACCAGCUGAAUCUAGCGGGACAUUCUGUUUGGACAGCAUGGUGUUUCAAAAGUUUUUGAAACCGAAGGCCUUUACGGAAGGCACGGUGUGCUAAGCUAAUGUUACAGUUUAUCCCAAAAGACCUCAAAGGGUUUUUUAGCUCAGGGAGUUUUUUUUUCCAGCAAGACAUUCUGACAGCAGUGUAGAGGACCAAUCGAAGGGCAGGGCGGGAUGGGGGUGGGAUAGUUAGGUGUAGUGCAGUCCGGGAGAAAGAGAACGUAGGCCACACGUGUCAUUUAAGUUUUUCUAGUAGACAUAUGUUUAAAACACCUAAAACAGAACAGGUGAGGUAAAUUUUAAGAAUAUGUUUAGGAGUUCCCACCGUGGCACAGUGGAAAUGAAUGUAACUAGGAACCAUGAGGUUGUAGGUUCAAUCCCUGGCCUCACUCAAUGGGUUGAGAAUCUGGCAUUGCUGUGGUUGUGGUGUAGGCGGGCAGCUAUAGCUCCGAUUAGACCCCUAGCUUGGGAACCUCCAUAUGCUGCAGGAGUGACCCUAAAAAAGACAAAAAAAAAGAGAACAUUUCAUUUAAUCUAACACAUAAAAUGUGUUAGAUUAGUGCGUAAUCAAUGUAAGAAUAUCAAUGAAGUGUCUUUGACAUUUAUAACAUCUCAAUUUAGACUGGCCACAUUUCAAGUACUAAACAGCCACAUGUGGUUAGUGGCUACCUGUUGGACAAAAGAGGUCUAGAAGCAGAAAGACCAAAGAGCUUUGUCUGGGCAGGGGAAGGGGAGGAUGGAAUAGGUGAGAGGGAUGAACAAACCUCCAGUACAACGUCCAGUUAUAAAAUAAAAUAAGCCACAGGGAUGUAAUGUACAGCAUAGGAAUAUGGUCAAUAAUACUGGAAUAACUUUGUAUGGGGACGGAGGACUUAUCGUGAUUUCAUAAUGUAUGUAGAGGUCAAAUCACUAUGUAGUAUAUCUGAAACUAACAAAAUAGUACAGCAACUAUCUUUUUAUUUUAUCUUAUUUUUUUUUUGGCUGUGCUCGUGGCACGCCAAAGUUCCUGGGCCAGGGAUUGAACCUGGGCCAUAACAGUGACAAUGCCAGAUCCUUAACCACUAGGAUACCAGGCAACUCCCAACUAUAUUUCAAUUAAAAAAAAAAAAAAGACAAAAUU
rnacentral:lncRNA from 1 species